rnacentral:ncRNA from 1 species
CCUUAUCAAGAGAGGCGGAGGGACAGGCCCUGUGAUGCCCGGCAACCUAUGGCGAAGCCAUAAGGUGCCAAUUCCUGCGGUGCAAACCGAAAGAUGAGG